UCGCGUGCUAAACAUCUGGUAGCCCCCGGGCUCAGCAAUUGUUUAUUUUAUUUUUAUUAUCGUGUUUUUAAUUUUAAGCUUGACUGGCACUUUUAUAAAAUCGGGUCUCCUCAUGGUCUCACAUGCUUGAUUUGUUUUUAAGUUACCAUUGCUCUGAUGAGCUUCUCAUUAGAAUACCUAUAAUAGAUAUCAGAAAUCGGCAUAGUUCCCCUGCGAUGCGUAAACCAAUCUAUUCACUAAUGUUCCUUAGCCAGGAUACUUCAGGAGUUUCAGAUUCGAAACCAUUCGAUUUCAAACAAGACUCAACUGUGGGCAAUACUGCAAACUGAGUGGGCUGCUAUUUCCAGUGAAGACUGUGCAAGACUUGUCGAUUCUAUGCCACGAAGAUGUAGAGAAGUAAUAAAUUCGGAGGGAUAUGCCACAAAAUAUUAGGAGAUUUUAAUUUAGAUGUAAUUUAUAUAAAUAACUUUCUUCAGUUUCCAAACUUUUGGCCAAGAAAAUAUUAAUUUUAUUUCAUUUUCUUUUUAUAAUACGUUUAAUUUCAAAUUAAUAUGUUAAGUUAGGUAUUAUAUAUACUUUAUCACAAUAUGAGUAACUUUAUUAUAGUUCCUGGUUUCUUAAAAAAAAAAUACAAAUUAAAAAAGUUUCCAUACUUUUGGCCACCAUUGUACACUGUCCAAAUACUUUUGAGAGAUUGCAUAUUUUAUUAAUUUUGUAUCUUGCAAUACUGUUUGGCUAUGUACAUCUUUUUUAAACUAAAUAUAUCGUAAUUAUAUUCGAUAGUCAUUAAGAAGUAUUCAUAAUUAUUAUUAGAUUGCAGAUUUUAUUUAUAAUAAUCAUAAUGUA